AGCGUAUAUUAAAGUUGUUGCAGUUAAAAAGCUCGUAGUUGAAUUUCGGGAUCGAUACGUCGGUCGUGCUUCGGUACGUACUGGCGUAAUUGAUUUCUCCCUUCUGACGAACCAUGAUGUCAUUAACUUGGUGUCAUGGGAAAUCAGGACUGUUACUUUGAAAAAAUUAGAGUGUUUAAAGCAGGCUCACGCUUGAAUACAUUANCAUGGAAUAAUGAAAUAGGACGUUCGAUCCUAUUUUGUUGGUUUUUAGGAUCAACGUAAUGAUUAAUAGGGAUAGUUGGGGGCAUUAGUAUUCAAUUGUCAGAGGUGAAAUUCUUGGAUUUAUUGAAGACUAACUACUGCGAAAGCAUUUGCCAAGGAUGUUUUCGUUAAUCAAGAACGAAAGUUAGGGGAUCGAAGACGAUCAGAUACCGUCGUAGUCUUAACCAUAAAC
rnacentral:rRNA from 1 species